rnacentral:rRNA from 1 species
UACGGGGGGAGCAAGCGUUGUUCGGAUUUACUGGGCGUAAAGGGCGCGUAGGCGGUCAGCACAAGUCAGUUGUGAAAUCUCCGGGCUUAACUCGGAAAGGUCAACUGAUACUGUGCGACUAGAGUGCGGAAGGGGCAACUGGAAUUCUCGGUGUAGCGGUGAAAUGCGUAGAUAUCAGGAGGAACACCAAUGGCGAAGGCAGCUCGCUGGGACGUGACUGACGCUGAGACGCGAAAGCGUGGGGAGCAAACAGG